rfam:Brachypodium distachyon strain Bd21 chromosome 2, whole genome shotgun sequence.
AUCGUACUCCCUCCGUCCAACAAAGGAUGUCUCAAUUUUGACUAAAUUUGAAUGCAUCUAUACAUUAAGUCAUGUCUAGAUUCAUCUAAAUUUUGACAAACUUGAGUCAUCUUUUGUUGGACGGAGAGAGUAUCAU